UGGUGGGUUGCCUUGUCAGGUUGAUUCCGGUAACGAACGAGACCUCAGCCUGCUAAAUAGGUGCGUCUGCUCUGGCAGUCGACAACUUCUUAGAGGGACUAUUGGCGUCUAGCCAAUGGAAGUAUGAGGCAAUAACA
rnacentral:rRNA from 1 species